GUUUUCGCUAUCGAGCAAAAUGUCUCAGGUGUAUGAAAACAUCUUUCGUGACGCUGUGAAAGAUUUCAGAAUUUCGGAGGAUUGCCUGAUUUCAGGCUAUUGUAAUUCGUUGGAGGAGGUGGAAACACUUCUCGAUCAGCUGAAAACUGUGGGGUUUUCAUACUGCGUGAGAAGUAGUCGUUUUAAAGAGCCUUCUUCAGAUGUUAUGAAAAGUAAAACAAAGCAUUUCUUCAAGCAAAUGCAGGGACAUGUCCCUAUCCCCUUUUUUGGUUGUGCAUUUGCAGUGGAGAGUGUGUGGUCGAGGCACUGUGUUUUGGGGCCAAAAUACUAUAAAAGUAAAGAGUCUAGUGUACCUGAGCACUUGGUAAUAUCAUGCUGUGUUAAGAUAUACUUACUUUCCAUAAAACAAGUUCG